rnacentral:lncRNA from 7 species
ACAAAGAGGCGCGAUCAGCUGUGUUGCCUUUGUCUCACUGGCUCCACUCCACUGUGGUGCAUGACCCCAGGACUUGCAGCAGACAGAGACAUACAGGUGCUGAAUUUUGUGAAGGACUCAGUUUUACCCAGGAGGGUGAAUUAAUUACAGAUUCACAAGAUUUGGAACUGCUACACUGAUGAUAUGCUGACUUCUUGAAAGCAAAAUCUGGUCCUCACUGCGUUCAGUAGGAUAUUCGCAGCUGUUUUCAACAUGAUGCCCGCAGUUCAUUCCAACCUGUUCUUUCUUCCUGCAAGUUGUAUGAGUUGAGCAACAACUACAGUUCUAAUCAUGCUCCAUGCAUGAACGCUGCCAGGACCAAAGAGCUUGCUGGGGAUCAGUGAGGGAUAAGUGAAACCAGAGGCAGUUAGAUAUCUUUGGCAAAAGAAACCAACACCCAAGGAGCAUGUUUCAGAAUUGAGCUUCCAAUAUGAGAAAAGUACAUGCAGCUUCUUUCAUAAAGAUUACCUUAGAAGAUACAGUGGUGCAUUUAGGACUGUAGC